rnacentral:rRNA from 1 species
AACUGAUUUGAAGAGCUUGCUCAGAUAUGACGAUGGACAUUGCAAAGAGUGGCGAACGGGUGAGUAACACGUGGGAAACCUACCUCUUAGCAGGGGAUAACAUUUGGAAACAGAUGCUAAUACCGUAUAACAAUAGCAACCGCAUGGUUGCUACUUAAAAGAUGGUUCUGCUAUCACUAAGAGAUGGUCCCGCGGUGCAUUAGUUAGUUGGUGAGGUAAUGGCUCACCAAGACGAUGAUGCAUAGCCGAGUUGAGAGACUGAUCGGCCACAAUGGGACUGAGACACGGCCCAUACUCCUACGGGAGGCAGCAGUAGGGAAUCUUCCACAAUGGGCGAAAGCCUGAUGGAGCAACGCCGCGUGUGUGAUGAAGGGUUUCGGCUCGUAAAACACUGUUGUAAGAGAAGAAUGACAUUGAGAGUAACUGUUCAAUGUGUGACGGUAUCUUACCAGAAAGGAACGGCUAAAUACGUGCCAGCAGCCGCGGUAAUACGUAUGUUCCAAGCGUUAUCCGGAUUUAUUGGGCGUAAAGCGAGCGCAGACGGUUAUUUAAGUCUGAAGUGAAAGCCCUCAGCUCAACUGAGGAAUUGCUUUGGAAACUGGAUGACUUGAGUGCAGUAGAGGAAAGUGGAACUCCAUGUGUAGCGGUGAAAUGCGUAGAUAUAUGGAAGAACACCAGUGGCGAAGGCGGCUUUCUGGACUGUAACUGACGUUGAGGCUCG